UGGGGAAUAUUGCACAAUGGGCGCAAGCCUGAUGCAGCCAUGCCGCGUGUGUGAAGAAGGCCUUCGGGUUGUAAAGCACUUUCAGCGAGGAGGAAGGCGUUAAGGUUAAUAACCUUAGCGAUUGACGUUACUCGCAGAAGAAGCACCGGCUAACUCCGUGCCAGCAGCCGCGGUAAUACGGAGGGUGCAAGCGUUAAUCGGAAUUACUGGGCGUAAAGCGCACGCAGGCGGUUUGUUAAGUCAGAUGUGAAAUCCCCGAGCUUAACUUGGGAACUGCAUUUGAAACUGGCAAGCUAGAGUCUUGUAGAGGGGGGUAGAAUUCCAGGUGUAGCGGUGAAAUGCGUAGAGAUCUGGAGGAAUACCGGUGGCGAAGGCGGCCCCCUGGACAAAGACUGACGCUCAGGUGCGAAAGCGUGGGGCAGCAAACAGGAUUAGAUACCCUGGUAGUCCAGCGCUGUAAACGAUGUCGACUUUGGA
rnacentral:rRNA from 1 species